rnacentral:rRNA from 1 species
CCUGGGUGAUCCUGCCAGUAGUCAUAUGCUUGUUUCAAGGAUUAAGCCAUGCAAGUCUCAGAGUAAAUGGAUUGACAGUGGGUCUGCAGACGGCUCAUUAAAUCGGUGGCAAUCUUCGCGGGGAAGGUGCCUUAUGGGCCCAGGUGGAUAACAAUGGUAACUCCAUUGCUAAUACAUGUCCGAAAAAUCUUACUUGCAUCAACCUCAUGGAGUAAAAUCUGUGGGGGCAGGGAAGAUACAGUUGACCGAAAUAAGAACCAACGCUAGCAAUAGCAGCGGUGAGUGGAUGAAACAGGUCAACCGAGUGAUAGCACACGACCUCGUGUCGGUGCAAGCCCGCAAGAGCUUCUGCCCUAUCAGCUUUUGACGGUAGUGUAGUGGACUACCGUGGCUGUAACGGGUAACGGGGAAUUAGGGUUCGAUUCCGGAGAGGGAGCCUGAGAAACGGCUACCACAUCUAAGGAUGGCAGCAGGCGCGCAAAUUGCCCAAUAGCAACACUGCUGAGGCAGCGAAGAGAAAUAGCAACUUCUCGUGCUUUGCACGAAGGAGAUUGCAAUGGAUGAUAUCUAAACCUGUCAAUGAGUAUCAAUUGGUGGACAAGUCUGGUGCCAGCACCCGCGGUAAUUCCAGCACCAAUAGCGUAUAUUAAUGCUGCUGCUGUUAAAAAGCUCGUAGUUGGAUCCAGAGUACAGGUUGCAAGGCGGCUCAGUUUGGGUAAACCGGCGUACUGCCGGGAUGCACAGGUUGGGGUAAACCCCUUGCACCAAGACCUGUCCUCUAUGAACGGUGGUAAUGGUGCCUUGCAAGUAGCCUUUUCGGAGGUGAAAGCGCCAACGUGUUAACCAUACGCAUACGGGUCGACCACCGAUGUUACUGUGAACAAACCAGCGUGCCCAAAGCAGGCGUCCGCCGUGAAUGAUAAAGCAUGGAAUAACAAGGGAUCGAUUCUCUCGGCUUUUUUGUUGGUUCUUAACCCGAGAAGGAAUAAUCAAAACGAUGUUCUUAGCAAGUCUCUUCGAGGCGUGUUUAAGUCAUCGCUACACGGGAUCAAUAGGGACUGCCGGGGUCGUACGUACUCCUACGUCAGAGGUGAAAUUCUUAGAUCGUAGGAAGACGAACUUCUGCGAAAGCAUUCGACAAGAAUGUCUUCAUUAAUCAAGAACGAGAGUGUGGGGAUCGAAGAUGAUCAGAUACCGUCGUAGUCCACUACUGUAAACGAUGCCGUCUCAGGAUCGAGGGAUGCUCAACCAUGACUCCCACGGCACUACCCCGAAACGAGAAAUCAAAGAUUAUGGGUUCAGGGGGGAGUACAUUCGCAAGGCUGAAACUUAAAGGAAUUGACGGAAUGACACCACCAGGCGUGGAGUAUGCGGCUUAAUUUGACCCAACACGGGGAAUUUUACUAGGUCAGGACAAUGUAAGGAUUGACAGAUUGAGAGCUCUUUCUCGAUCCAUUGUGUGGUGGUGCAUGGCCGCUCCUGGUUGGUGGAGUGAUUUGUCUGGUUGAUUCCGUUAACGAACGAGAUCUCGACCCUUAAAUAGGUGGCUUGUCGCUUAGAC